GACGAACGCUGGCGGCGUGCUUAACACAUGCAAGUCGAACGGUGAAGGGAUCAGCUUGCUGGUUCUGGAUGAGUGGCGAACGGGUGAGUAACACGUGAGUAACCUGCCCCCUUCUUCUGGAUAACCGCAUGAAAGUGUGGCUAAUACGGGAUAUUCUGGGUCUGUCGCAUGAUGGGUCUGGGAAAGAUAUUGUUUCGGUGGGGGAUGGGCUCGCGGCCUAUCAGCUUGUUGGUGGGGUGAUGGCCUACCAAGGCGGUGACGGGUAGCCGGCCUGAGAGGGGGGACGGUCACACGGGGACUGAGACACGGCCCAGACUCCUACGGGAGGCAGCAGUGGGGAAUAUUGCACAAUGGGCGCAAGCCUGAUGCAGCGACGCCGCGUGAGGGAUGGAGGCCUUCGGGUUGUAAACCUCUUUCGCCAGUGAAGCAGGCCUGCUCCUUGUGGGUGGGUUGACGGUAGCUGGAUAAGAAGCGCCGGCUAACUACGUG
rnacentral:rRNA from 1 species